rnacentral:misc_RNA from 1 species
GAUGAAGAACGCAGCGAAAUGCGAUAAGUAGUGUGAAUUUCAGAAUUCAGUGAAUCAUCGAAUCUUUGAACGCACAUUGCGCCCUUUGGUAUUCCAAAGGGCAUGCCUGUUCGAGCGUCAUUUGUACCCUCAAGCUUUGCUUGGUGUUGGGCGUCUUGUCUCUAGCUUUGCUGGAGACUCGCCUUAAAGUAAUUGGCAGCCGGCCUACUGGUUUCGGAGCGCAGCACAAGUCGCACUCUCUAUCAGCAAAGGUCUAGCAUCCACUAAGCCUUUUUUUCAACUUUUGACCUCGGAUCAGGUAGGGAUACCCGCUGAACUUAAGCAUAUCAAUAAGCGGAGGA